rnacentral:sRNA from 1 species
GUUAGGGGAGACUGCCUGGAGGAGAUGCUCCCGGAGGGGCUAGCAAGGAAGGGGGCUGAGGGAAGUGGAGGGAGAGAUGGGUCAGGUGAGGAGCCAGGGAAGGGGAAGGUGAUGGGGUGGGCUAGAGGCAAGAAGCUUGAGGCGCAGGGGAGGAGAGAGUCCAGGGGUAAGGCGAGGGCAGCCCCGUGGUUCCAAGUCCAGCUGAGCCCUCAUUAUCCUGGGGAAAAGACUUCCACCUAGUGUCACCCCUCGCCAAGGCACACACACACACGGAGACGUGCAGAGGCCAGCAUGGUGUGCACCCCUCCUGCCCACAGGCACACACAUGUGUAGAUACACACACAGAUGCUGGGACACGCAGAGGGGAGCAGACAAGCACACCUCCACACACAGAUGGCCUCUUCUGGGCUGGGUGUGGCUGGCCGUGGGCAGUCACCACGGCCCAACCCAGUGACUCACGGGGCAGGGCUGAGGGGCACAGUCUCCCUGGGUGGCCUGGGAAACACUGCUCAGCUCCAGGAUGGACCUGAAUCUCCAAGGGCAAAGGAAUCUUGGCACCCAGCUGGGACUCCCCUAGGGUCCAAUUUGCUUCACCAGCCUUCCCUUUCCCCACGGCCCCAUCUUGCAGCCCUAAGCCCAGGGGCAAUGGCUGAGGCCCUUGCCAAAGGGGGUGGAUUGGGCUGGUGGUGGGUUGGAGCACGAUGCUGGCGUCCCCUUUGCACAUGUUCCCUGGGCACCUCUGGCCUCCGCGAGUCCCUGCCUGCCCAGAGAGCUCCCUGCUCUGGUUAGGCUCGUGAGGUCCCCGUAGCUGUGGCUGCUGCAGAGGCCUCGGCCUGGCCGGAAAGCCUGUUCACCUGCUGGCACUCAGAGCCUCGCAGUGGUCCUUCCCUUUUCUGCAUCCGGAAUCUUAGGGAGACCCUGAUGAACACUUUGAGUUGUCUCCCCAGGGACAUACAGCUCUCUCCUCAUCCACCACUUAGCACACAAUUCUGGCCAUUCCAAAGACUUCAGAUGAAGAAAUCCUGGUAGACAGUUUAUGAACUGAGAUUAUGCAGGAUGUCUCCCUCGGAUUUGCAGAAAGGGGUACCAUUGAGAGAGGGAGCAGAGGGGCCGCAGUCACAGAGGCUGUUAAAGGCCUCCAGCCCCAGAAAAGCAGGGAUUCAGUCUGCCCAACUGUAGGGCCUUGAAUCCCUUCCUUCUAAGCUCCUUCCAGCCAAAUGUGUGUUCUGCCAACCUGAGCUGCCCCAGUCCCAAACAAACUCAGCCAUGCCCUCCCUGCCUGCCCUUCAAGACUUGACCCUUCGGCUCUUUUCUCCACCCCUGGCCUCUGGAAAGUCCAUGCCCCAUCCUCCUGCAGCCCUGCCCUUCCCUCCCCAUCUCGCUCAUUCCCCCUUCUCUUCUUUGAGGUGUGCCCGGCCGGGGCAGGCGCCCUGGAGCCUGGCGCCCCAGGCAGCUGCUACCUGGACGCAGGGCUGCGGCGGCGCCUGCGGGAGGAGUGGGGCGUGAGCUGCUGGACCCUGCUCCAGGCCCCCGGAGAGGCCGUGCUGGUGCCUGCAGGGGCUCCCCACCAGGUGCAGGGCCUGGUGAGCACAGUCAGCGUCACUCAGCACUUCCUCUCCCCUGAGACCUCUGCCCUCUCUGCUCAGCUCUGCCACCAGGGACCCAGCCUUCCCCCUGACUGCCACCUGCUUUAUGCCCAGAUGGACUGGGCUGUGUUCCAAGCAGUGAAGGUGGCCGUGGGGACAUUACAGGAGGCCAAAUAGAGGGAUGCUAGGUGUCUGGGAUCGGGGUGGGGACAGGUAGACCAGGUGCUCAGCCCAGGCACAACUUUAGCAGGGGAUGACGCUAGGGGACUUGGGGAUUUCUGGUCAACCCCAGAAGCACCACUCUGGGUACAAGCAGGGCACUCUGUUCCCCUCCCCCUUAAGCCAACAACCACAGUGCCACCAAGCUCACACCUGUCCUUCUCAGGCUGGCAUCUCCCCCACCCUGUGCCCCUCUUCAUGGUACCAGGCCCGCACUGGGGGCAAUUGACUUCCUCCAAUCCCCACUCCUCCGAGACCCAGGAGACAAACAGCCCUUCCUUGGGGAAACUUGGGAAUCAUUCUGGCUUAAACAACACCUCCUCCUGCUGCUCACUCCCGCUGAGCCCACUCUACUGCCCCAGCUCCGUUUCUACCACCGCAUCCUCACUGGGCUCACUGCAGGCAUGCUGAACAAGGGGCCUCCAACCUUCUGCCCUCCUGCCAAAAGAUCUGGGGAAUGUGAGGAGAGGGUGGCAUCAGGAGCUGCUCAGGCUUGGCGGAGGGAGCGGCAUGGGCGAUGUCACUCAGCCCCUUCCCGGUCUGCCCGCUUCCCUCCUUCAUGAUUUCCAUUAAAGUCUGUUGUUUUGUG